UUAUUGCCUGUGAUGGUAUUAAAUAUACUUUGAGAGCUAUGUCUCUAUGAACAUCAAAAACAACUCUGAGGCUUUUU
rfam:Arabis alpina cultivar Pajares Aa.chr2_contig_3968, whole genome shotgun sequence.